UACGUAGGGCGCAAGCGUUGUCCGGAAUUAUUGGGGCGUAAAGAGCUCGUAGGCGGUUUGUCGCGUCUGCUGUGAAAACCUAAGGCUCAACCUUGGGCUUGCAGUGGGUACGGGCAGACUAGAGUGCGGUAGGGGUGACUGGAAUUCCUGGUGUAGCGGUGGAAUGCGCAGAUAUCAGGAGGAACACCGAUGGCGAAGGCAGGUCACUGGGCCUUACCUGACGCUGAGGUGCGAAAGCGUGGGGAGCAAACAGG
rnacentral:rRNA from 1 species